CAUGCAGUCGAGCGAACAGAUGAGAAGCUUGCUUCUCUGAUGUUAGCGGCGGACGGGUGAGUAACACGUGGGUAACCUACCUAUAAGACUGGGAUAACUCCGGGAAACCGGGGCUAAUACCGGAUAAUAUUUUGAACCGCAUGGUUCAAUAGUGAAAGACGGUUUCGGCUGUCACUUAUAGAUGGACCCGCGCCGUAUUAGCUAGUUGGUAAGGUAAUGGCUUACCAAGGCGACGAUACGUAGCCGACCUGAGAGGGUGAUCGGCCACACUGGAACUGAGACACGGUCCAGACUCCUACGGGAGGCAGCAGUAGGGAAUCUUCCGCAAUGGGCGAAAGCCUGACGGAGCAACGCCGCGUGAGUGAUGAAGGUCUUCGGAUCGUAAAACUCUGUUGUUAGGGAAGAACAAAUUUGUUAGUAACUGAACAAGUCUUGACGGUACCUAACCAGAAAGCCACGGCUAACUACGUGCCAGCAGCCGCGGUAAUACGUAGGUGGCAAGCGUUAUCCGGAAUUAUUGGGCGUAAAGCGCGCGUAGGCGGUUUCUUAAGUCUGAUGUGAAAGCCCACGGCUCAACCGUGGAGGGUCAUUGGAAACUGGGAAACUUGAGUGCAGAAGAGGAGAGUGGAAUUCCAUGUGUAGCGGUGAAAUGCGCAGAGAUAUGGAGGAACACCAGUGGCGAAGGCGGCUCUCUGGUCUGUAACUGACGCUGAUGUGCGAAAGCGUGGGGAUCAAACAGGAUUAGAUACCCUGGUAGUCCACGCCGUAAACGAUGAGUGCUAAGUGUUAGGGGGUUUCCGCCCCUUAGUGCUGCAGCUAACGCAUUAAGCACUCCGCCUGGGGAGUACGACCGCAAGGUUGAAACUCAAAGGAAUUGACGGGGACCCGCACAAGCGGUGGA
rnacentral:rRNA from 1 species